UGCACCUCAAAAUGACAGAGUCUGAGAAGCUGGCUUGACAGGUAUCUAUAUAUGUGUCCAGUCCAUCUGAGCAAUCUGAUUGGUCGGUUUGAUUUUGGUGUGAUUGGUCAGCUUUGCUGUGGUUGCUCAGUUAAACACGAUUGAGACAGGAUGUGCUGUGCGAUGAAGGUUGACACACACAAGAAUUACCCAGGAAAGGCGUAGGAGGAAUGCUGAGAGUCGCCUUCAGACAUGGGAUGUAUU